CGGCAUUGUGAUCCUAAUCUACUAUUCCAACAACCAUCCCAACUAAGAAAUCCACUACUCCAUAAAAAUCAAGCACAAACCCUCUGAUUUUUCCAGCAAAGUUCAAGGUCAGCAAUCUUUAAUAUUCUGCAAAUCAAGCAACUUAGGUAUGUUUAGAUUUGAUAUCAUUCAAGAUUCAAUUGAUUUGAUAUCUGUUCUGAUUUUGUAGUUUAAUUUCAAGGGCUAUUUAUAUGAAUCUCGUCUUGUUGUUUGGGACACUCAAAAUUGCUCAAAUGCAAGAAAUUCAUGAGAGAGAUGAUAUUAGGUGCUGAUGGCUUCACAAAGUCUUACCCAGUUGACUAAUAUCAUUUUUGCGUGCAGUGAUCCCAAUAAUUCUCUCUUUGUCUUUAAUUUUUUUGGAAUUCUUUCAAUUUUUUUUUCAAACUUUGAUAAUUAAUUUUUAUCAAAUUUUAAGAAAUGAUUAUUUUUUGAAAUUUGUGUUUUAAUCGGGUUUUAUGGUAGUAUUAAUUGGGUUUUUGUUGGUGGGUUUAUCGUUUAAUGUAGAUGGUACACUUGAGGUUAUUUUUUUCUGGCUUAUUUGUAGAAUUGUAGCUACCCAUUUUCUGAUUUGCUUGAUCGGAACUAUCUAAAUGAGAAAAAAAAAGUAGUAUUGGGGUGUACUCAAAGCUACGUACACCCGUGUGUAUAAUGGAAAUUGUGGUCUUGUGGAAUUUUUUGGGUUUAAGUGUCUAUAAUGUGUUGAUGGGUAGCAGUUAAUUACAGCCUUUUGUGAACUAGAAUCUGGUAAGAAAAAAAAUUGAGUAGGUAAAUGCAAUGGAUUAAAAUUUGUUAUAAAAAGGUGUUAUUUUUGUAUUGGGGUUUAAGUGGAACUGAAUGAAAAUAGUUGAGAUUUGUUAUGUGGAGAAUUAUAAGAUUUAAUACAUAAGGAUCUUAAACCAUUGCAUUCAAUUACGUGUACAUCUGUUAGAUUGUUAGGUUUUUGUUUCUAGGAGACAAAGAGAGUGACUUGAUCACUGACGCAAAGAUGAUGUGAGUCGUGGGUAAGUGUUGUGAGCCAUGUAUAUUCAGCACUGCUUACUCUAAGGAAUUGAGAGAAAAGCCCUUCCAUGUUACAUGUCAGUAUGACUUGGUUGGCCAAUAAAAGGUACAUAGCUUUCCAGCUUUUAUAAUGAUGGUCUUCCUUCUUUGCAUUGUGCAUGAAACACAUAGGCAUGGUGCAUCUUUUAUGGUAAUACGAGUAGUAAUUUUGGCUUGAUCUAUCAGUUCUGGAAAGGGAGAUAAACCUUUUCCUGAAUCUUUCACAAGCGCUGCACAAACAAAAAAUUUGAAUUUAUUAAAGUAUAAUCCAUUUAAUAUAACAAUGUGCUGACAUGUGCCUAGUCCUGGCUCCUGGGUUCCAUGCUGUUAUUUCACCCCAUCAUAGCUUUCCUUGUACUGAAUAAGGUUACAUUAUGUAUGUUUGCUUUUUCCUUAAUUCAUGUGCACACUUAGUUUGUUAUUUGUUGCUUUGACUAAUUGCUAGAUUUUCAAGUGAAAGUGGACUUGUGGAAAGUGCGGCUCCUUGUUCAAAUUACCCUUAAAUCCUUCAGCAACUAAAGCUUUUUUGAGCUGCAGAAAUCCCCAUGAAGAAAAAUCGUUGCUGAAGGAGGGCAAGAUACUCUGUAAGAUACGAUGUCUAUGAAAGAUUAUGAAUUUUAUAUUCUGGCUCUGGAGACUGGAGUACUUACUUGCAUUGAAUGCAAUUCUUUUCAUAAUUAUAUGCCAUUGUAAAAAAAAUUUCCUUUAUUUUAUUUGGUUUUUUUAUUUGCUAUUUCCAUAGCUAAAUUACUAGGAAAAUGAUCAACUGUAACAAUUCUUCAAUUGAGCUCCUGAAAAAUCAUGGAUUUGUUGCUAAUAUUUAUGAUGGUUCCGUUACAUUCUUACUGAACAAUUCCAUACACAAUCUUCUUGUUCAUCCUGCUCAUAUACAUCUGCGACGGAUUUUAUAGAACAUCUAUAUAUCGGAAAGGGAAAGCCUUUCUAAGUGGCAGAUUUCAACAUAAGAACAGCAUAAGAUUUACAGCACCGUGCAGCUUAUUUGAUGAUUUCCUUGUGUAGUAAAUUUAAGUAUUAUGCUGAAAUUAUUAUUUUACUUGAGAUCAGCACUGUGCAGCUUGUUAAUCUACUGUACAGUCUGUACAUAUUGUUAAUAAUAGUGUAAAAGGCUUUCUGACAAUUGGUGGCAAACAAAGCGAGAUACCCCCAAAAUAAGGGCAGUGGGCGCCUGGGCUCUUGAACUGUAUAUUUGCCUUUUGUAGAGAUCUCUGUGAAAGAAUUUGAGCAAAGUCACCUUCUAUCUGACUAUUUGCUUACAACUUCCACUGUGAUGUGCAGUAGCUGGGGAGCUGUGAAUGUUGUUCUGUGUUCUAAGUUGUUUAUGAUUAACUGAUUUGGGCUAUAGUUUGAAUGUUAUGUUGGAUAAUCUUCUCUGUAUCAUUGUCAAGUGGGUUCGGUUGAAACUGGAACGCUAAGUAUUGUUACAUUUUGAGGGUGAUUUUUUCUUUUCUUUUCUUUUCUCUCUCUUUUUUUUUUUUUUUUUUUUUUUUUUUUUUUUUUUUUUUUUUUUUUUUUUACAAACCCCCAACUUGUGUGAAUUAAAUUUUGUGUUGAGUUCAUUCUUCUUACUGUUGAUUUUGUUCUGUUAUUACCGGUGUGUGUAUACUCUUCCUAUUUUAAAAAUGAGAUAUUCUCUAUCUUGUGAGUUAAAUAUUGCAUUGAUUUGGUUUUGUUCUUACAAUUGAUUGUUUAAUUUACUAUUUUUGCUUAACAUAAAUGUUCUGUUUAGAUCAUAUGGAGGAUUCUGGAAUAAAAACAACUGUACUAAAGUCUUUAUAUGAUGUCAGACUUGUUUGAAUGGAUGUUAGGCGUAAAGAAAUCAGAGCUAGUGUAUUCUGUGGCAUUGAUUUAGCCUCUGGUAUGGCUGCAUUUAUACUUUAAAAUUGUUAUUUAGUCUGUGGAUGUAUCUUUUUGAUAAUUUAAUUUAUUUAUGUCAUUUUGUUCCAUAUUAGAGUGUAUAUGAUUCUCCUAAUCUCUUGCACUAUGUUGUGUUGAUAAUAAUGUUUCACCAAAAAGUGCAUGCUGUCAAGUGAAAUAUCUACACCUCACAGUGUAUGCUAGCAUUUGUUACGUUAUAAAUUAUUAAAUCGAGGAUAAUGUGGCUAUUCAGGUGACUAAAUUUUCUAUGGAGUAUUAAUUUAUUGGCAUCAUGCAUAGCUGAAGUUGUGCUAGUGCUUGAUAUUUUUCCAACCAGAAAUGUGGGGGCUAUUUUAUUUUGUACAUGUGCAUUGUCAUGUACUCACGUGUAGCCCAGGUUAGUCACUCUAACUUAAAGUUUACUGGCAUUAAGGAGAUUUAUUUUAUUGGAAAUGAAUUCUAGGCAUGAUAGGUUGUCUCCCUUUAAUUUGAGCACAUUGUUAUGUUAAUGGAUGGGUUUAGGCUCACAGUUAAUCUUUUUGGAGCAACAAAUGGUAAAUUCUCCUCAGAUAAUAUGUGGCCAUCCUUACUGAACAGCUUAAAGUGAGAAAAAACUAGCUGCUAGCUUCAACGAGGCCCUAUUCUUCAAUCGUAAUGUUUCUUAGUUUAGGUUUUAUUUCUUGCUAUGCUGACAAAGUAGCUAAAUGAUGGGCAUUUAAAACAGUUUCAACCCACAAUGUCACUGUAUUAUUAAUACUGAGGUCUCUCAUGAUGGCUUGAGGGUUAAAAGUUCUGCCUUCUUUUGUCCCCUAUUAUGUUUAUUCAACCUAUACACAUUUGACUUAUAGAGGUUUCAGCUUAACUAGGAUAUUUAAUGACUUUAUCAUUUGUGGACUUGAUGGCGUAUUCUGGCUCCAACAGCAACCACAACAACAACAACGAAGCCUUAGUCCCAAAUGAUUUUGGGUCGGCUAACAUGCAUUGUCAGAGCAUAGCAAGACAAUUGAUUUGGUGUACUCUGGCUCCAUGACUUGAUGGUAAGUCAUGUAUUUUUCUGGUAACAUUCUAAAUUAUGAGCACCUUGGUUAUGAAGGUAUAGCUUCUGUUACCCCAAGUCCUUAAUUAGGGAUGACAAGUGUCUAUAUAUGAUUUUAGCCCAAAAUAAAGUGUCCAAAUGUCCAUACCCUUGCCGGAGUGUUGAAAAUCUAACAAGGAUACUUGAGUUGAAAUGAAGAGUUUAAGUAACAUUUAUUUUUUUUAAUGGUAAAGAGGACCCUGUCUAACCCUCACGGAUUUUUUGGUCCAAUAUUUGUGGGCCAGACACUUGGGAGUAGAGAGGAGGGUAAGGGAAUCCCUACCCCCAAGUACCCUGACUUGGUAGGAUUUGAACUGCUGGAUUUGAGGUAGUGAGCCAACACUUUGUUGGUAGAGUCCAAGUAACAUAGGGUAUAAGUAUAGGUGCCAUACAAUUUCAAAUUAUUGACUUUUGGAUAAAUUUGUUUUUGCAUAGGUUACAUUCCAUCUCAUUUAAAUGUUGCCUUGCAACUCUAGUGGUUUCUAACGUGUAUCAUUAUCAUCAUUAUACUUGAUUUUAUUGUCUAUGUGGAAGUAGUCAUCCUUGAAUCUAUUUAGAGUAGUUUAGAGUUUCUCUACUUCAUAGUUUAGAGUAGCCUACUACAAAAUUUGUCAGCUUUCUAUCCAAGGAAGAGGUUAUCUGAUUACAUUGUAAUCUAAAGUAGUUAUACUCUUUUUUUAGGUGAUUCUCCUAUUUGCAUUCACUUCUUUGUUUUGAUGAUUAUGAUUGAUCUAAAUGUGCAUGCUGACAAGUGAUAUCUUCACUCAAAGUGCAUGCUAGUAUGUUUAAACUUACUCAAUCAACCACUCAAUAGUAAGAUAGUUUGAAUUGGCUAUUUAGGCGACUAAUUUUCUUUAAUUCUAUAUAUCAUGACUGCCUGCAGAUGCUGUUUAUCAUGUGUAGGAGAAGUUGAUAUGUUUGCUAUGCUUUCAUUUUAAUGCGUGGGGGAAAGUGGAUGUUCAAGUGCAUUUAACGUCACGGCAUGUCCAAGCUAUUCAAUUCUGAGCACAUUAUUAUGUCAUGGAAUGGAACUUUAGGUUCAAUGUUCAUCUUGACAUGGUACAAAUACACUUGGAUGAGAAAUGAUCUUGCAAAUUUUAAUUCAAUUGACAUUGUCUCUUCCUCACUUCACAUAUGAACGUUUCCUCAAAUGUCAAAUCAGGUGAUCUUAAGUUAUCUUCUACACAUAUCUGCAGUUAUGCUCUUUUGCUAAGAAGUAAUUAGGUAAUAUUCAUACCUUUUCUUACGCUUUUUAUUUAUUUAUUUUUAUUUUCUAUCUCGCAAACACCUGAAAAAAAAUCUAUGAAGAGACUUUGAGAACUGAGAAGUGAAGAUAGAGGGAGAUAUGGUAUCUAAUUGAUGUUAUGUCUUCCUGAUCUCAUUUAUUUUUGGCUACCGAAAACAAUUCUAGUUUUUGUUUAUCUCAUGUUUGUUGUCGUAAAAAAGAAGGAAAUAAAAUUUCUUGUCUACAAAUCAUGAUAUCAAGUAUUGAAGUCUUUGGUAUUCACUAUUGCUUGUUCAAAUAUCAAUUUUUGAAGAAAAGGUAAUGACAUUGGUUAGUUCUAAAGUAGUAAAGUUGCUUGGAUUAGGUUCUAUAUUUUUUUUGCCUUAAUGUGGAAAUAGCUUACUUUUAUAUUCCUCAUAUCUUCACCUCACAGGCAGGAUUUUUUUAUUUUUUUUUUUUAUUUUUUUUUAUUUUUUAAAAAUUACAUUAUUUAUUACUUAAUCUAGUAGUAUAACGUAUGAGUGGCUAUCUAGCUCGAUGACAAAAUUUUCUUCAUAUUUGUAUAGAAGAAACCAUGGCUGUUAUAAAAGCUCUUUAACAUUGCAGAAGUGGUGAUGGGGUGCAUCUCUGUUAAAUUGAGCACAUGAUUAUGUUACUAGAUGGAGUUCAGGUUCAGUGUUCAUCUAUUUGGUGCAACAAAUGGGGAGUACAGUACUACAGUAUAGCUCAGAUAUCUUUUAUAAUGUGGCCACCUUAAGGUGAGAAAGGAUAUCUUUCGAAGUGGCUACUACUUGGCAUGGUACUACUGCUACACUUGAUUCAGAAAGGGGUUCGUGAAUUGAAAUUGCUAGACUCAACCACGUGUGGCCCUAUAUAUUUCCCGUUUCUCUUAUUAACAUAUUCUUAAACUAGGUGGUCUUACUUCCCAAAAAAAAAAAAAAACAAAACUAGGUUAUCUUACAUUUAAUUUCUCUUGUUUAUUAUUUUUAAGAAGAUAUUAGAUAACAAAUUUACCUUCAUUAUGACCCUAUAGAGGAGACUGAACAGAAAAAAUGGAAGGAAAUAAGGGAAUAAAGUUAUCUCAUUUACUUACAGCUGCUGUUAUCUGAUGGCAGUUUCAUGUUUGUUGUCAUAUCACAAGACCAGGAGUCAAAGUAUUAUCGUCUAUAUUAGUUGUCAUAAAGUUACUAUCAUAUUCUGUUGAAGUCUUAUACCCACCCUUUAAAGUCUUCUACCUAUUGUUCUUGUUUAUAAGUUCAAUUAUUUGGAUAAAAGAAAAUGGAAAUGGCAAUUGCUAAAUGUUGCUUGUAAUAAGUAGUUUUAUAUCCUGCCAUAGUGUUGAGUUGCUAACUGAUGGGUUAUGUCACCAUAUGAUCAGUAUUGAGAUCUUUCUUUAGAGUUGAAUUUACGGUUUUGUCUUUUGUCUGCAGAUGCUGUUUAUCAUGCAUAGGAAGAGUUGAGAUGUUUGCUAUGUUUUAGUAAAAAAUGUGGGGGCAAGCUGAUGUUCAUGUGUACUUCAACAUCAUGCCCUGUAGUCCAAGCUCUUCAAUCUGAGUACAUCAUUAUUUCAGUGUUCAUCUUUACUUGGUACAGAUACAUUUGGUACUAUCUCUUCCUCACUCCUGUGAACAUAUCUUGAAAUCAAUUGAUCUUAAAUUGUUUCCUGCACAUACCUGCACUUAUGUUUUCUUUUAUUCAUUCUUGCUUAGAUAACAGCCGUACUUUUUAUGUUUUGCUAUUUUAUUCUAUUGUUCUCCAUCUCGUGAACACCUAUGAUGAAACUGUGAGAAAGGAAGGUAGAGGGUAAGGUAUCCUUUUUAAAUUUUUUUAAAUUUAUUUUUAAGAGAGGAUAAUAAGGUAUCUUAUCUCCUGAUCUCAUUUAUUUUUAGCUACUGUGUCCAAUUCUAGUUUAGUAGUUUUGUGUUCGUUGUUGUAAAAAACAAGGAGCCUAAAUUUUCUUGUUUAACAUAUUUGUCAAUUACAAUCUUGGAAUUGCAUUUUCAAAAUAUCAAUUUUUUUUAAGAAAAGGAAAUGACAAUUGUGAGCUCUAACAUUGCCUUGAUUAGGUUUAGCUUCUUGCCUUAAUGUGGAAGUAGCUUACUGAUGGGUAUUGGGUAUAGCUUGAGCCUGAUAUGCUUACUAGUAUUGAGGUCUCACCAUGAGAGUUAAAAUUUACAUAUUCUUUUCUUCUUUCUUCUUGUUUGUUUCUAUAUUUUGGGGGUUUCAGCUUUAACUAGGCAAUAUAAUCUUCUAACUGCUUAUGGACUUGAUGGUGUAGUCCCAUGGAAAAAUGAUAUGGAUGACAUAAUACCUGUGUUUUUGUUGUUAUUAUUAAAAAAAAAUUUAGCACUUGGGCUGUUAGGUUUAAGUACUAGAUAAUUAAAAAUAAUUGCAAUAGAAUCUAUUUGUUUAUUAUAUUAUUCGAUAUCAUUUACUCGUAUAUUCUUCUUCAUUUAGCUGCAGUUUUAUUGGUUUUUAAUGUGAAUCACAAUCAUUGUACAUAGUUUCUUGUUUGUUCAGAAAAGGUCUUAAAGAAUUUAUGUUUAGUAAAUAUUGGAUGUCCAGAAAAGUAUUGAGUUGCACUUCAUGAUCUAGGAUCACCAUUUAGAAUUAAUUACUCGUGUAUGCCUUAUGAGUUAUGAUAAAACAUGACAUAGCUUCGCCUUAUGAAGCUCAGGUUCUAGUUUAGACUUUAGAGUGUUUCUUGUGUUAAAUUCUUAAUUCCUAGUUUCAAGUCUUCCUUACCCAUUUAGAUGUCAUAGCACCGGCACAUAGUGAACUCAUGUCUUCAAAUACGGAAAUCUCUAAUUUCAUGAUCUAAAAUACUGUUUGGAAUGAUUACACGUGUACGUGUGUAUGCCUAUAAUAAGAACAUUACAAAGUUUCCCAUUAUGAAGCUUCAGGUUCUAGUUGAGAGUGUGUUUUGUGUUGAGUUCUUAAUUUCUUAUUCUUCGAAUCUUCCUUAGACAUCUGGAUGUCGUAGCACCAGCACAUAGUGAACUCAUGUCAUCGAAUACUGAAAUCCCUAUUUUUUCUUUCUGAGACCUAUAAAUUGCUGACCAAACGCUACUUAGUUUCUUAUGUUAGUCAAAAUACACGUGCCCAUUAAAAUCACAAUCAAGAAAUAAGGCCUUUUUAGGGUAUACUUAAGCGUACGAAGGCCUUUUGCGUAAUAAAUUUCUGAAGACGAGUUGCUCUCAGUGUUGUUAGUGUGAAUAAAGUGUCAAAUUCAUUGAAUUAUACUUUUUAAGGUAGGUAAUUUCAUUGUUCACAGCUCAAAGGUUUAAAGCAAAUAUGUAAUGAAUGGUAACAUAUCAAUUCUCUGAUUUACACUUAUUAAGUAUACAUUUUAUUCUGUAUUAUCAAAGGGUAAAAUAUAUUGUUUUUCUCCAUCUUUAUUUUUUUUUAUAAAUCCAUCACAAAGUGAUGUGGGUAUUCUAUCCUUGUGAAAAAAAAUCCAUCUCAAAAUGAGCUGGUGAUUCUAUCCUUGUAAAAUUAAAAAAAAAAAAAAAAAAAAAAAAAAUCCAUCUCAAAAAGAUGGGGUGAUCCUAUCCUUGUGAGCUGUAUUCUAAACCCUAGUCCAUCAACCUAGUCCAAGUUUUCUAUAUAAAUGAUUUACUUGCUCUCAUUUUAAUCUCACAACUCUUUCUCAAAUUCUAUUUGAUAUCCUCCUCUCUCUUUAUUUUUCUUGGUAAUUAAUCUACGGAGUAGUAGGUUUUCAUGCAGAUCCAUAAGGAUCAGAUAGCUUUUAUGCUGCCUGCCAUGAAAUGUCCAAGGAAGAAGAAAAGGAGGAGUUUUAUGCUCUAGCAUAUAUCAUAUUGCAUCUGCAAUUCACCAAAGUGGCCUAUGUCGAAGAGAAGGAUUGGAUUUGUCGAUGCCAUCAGCAUCAUGGCCAUGGACUCAAGAACAAGUAUUGAUUGGGCAUUAAGAGCAAAAUUAGUACCAGAUGUUGUAAUCUUUAUUACAACACAAACUGGGAAAAUGAUGCCUUGACAUGUUUGUCUGAUUCUCAUAGUCUUCACGAGACGGUUGGUGCAGGCUCAUGUCAUUGGUGGUGGUAUUGAUAUGGCUGGGCUUUGGACCGACCAAUUCGGAAGGCUUGGGGAUGUGUCCUCAUGUUUUGGGUGGUAUCGAUCUCCUUUCGCUAUCAAUACGAUUCACGGUAAUAGGCCUGAUCUUUUUGACUUGGCCAUGUCAGGCAUUUGUCGAAGAAAUCAUCAUCUUGAAUGCCCUACAAUUUUACCUUGUAUCUCAAGUAGUCGAGGAUGUGUUGGUUUAAUAUCAAUAUUAUCUUAAUAUUGCAAAUGAAAUUUGUAUCAAAUAUUGUCAAUUUAAGUUAUCAAAUAUUGUCAAUUUAAGUUAUCUAUGAAAGGUUGUGAAGUUAAAUCUGUAUUUUCUUUUGAUGGAGUAUCUCAAAGAGCAGUGGUGUAACAAUGUUCGAUUCAAAAGUUGGCUGAAUGGAAAUUUAAAGUUGUAACUUGUAUAUUGUUAUUUUAAUGUAGAGAGAGCAACAUAGACAAAUGAUGCAGAUGA